CGGGUCGAAGCCAAAUUGGUCAGGCACCUAAAUUGGGUUUAGGCACUAGAAAGUUCAAAUCUUUCCGACCCGA
rnacentral:tRNA from 1 species